UCGGACCACCAUACCGGGGGGGAAACACCCGGUCCCAUUCCGAACCCGGAAGUUAAGCCCCCCAGGGCCGAUGAUAGCCUCGCCCCGAGCGAGGUGAAAGUAGGUCGUGGUCCGGG
rnacentral:rRNA from 10 species